UUCUUUAAAUCAAAUUGCUUAAUAAGUUAAUCUAGUUUGUUAACUCUAAACUUAACAAAAUCUUAAUUUCAGGGCAUAAUAAUAGGAAGUGCGGGCUAAUGCUCAGCCGACACCCACAGGCUACAACAACCAGAUCUUGCAGCAAACAGAAGCUUCUCUUGCUGUCUUUUUCUCUCUUGAAAAUUCUCGGUGGAACAAAAAUCGGAGAUGAAUUUGGGAAAAGAAAAUAAUUUAAGAGAUACCUUCAAAACAAUACCAUGAGAGCAGUAGCUAUAAGCAUCUUCUUCAUACUAUCACUGCUUUCAUCUUUCACAUCUCAAUUUCAAGAUUUGGUUGCCAAGGAAAAAACCAGGAGGAUUCUGCAUCAACCACUCUUUCCAAUUAGUUCAAUACCACCGCCAGAUUCUGAAAUAUCGCCGCCGCCACCGGCCGAGCCGAUCAACUCUCAGCCUUUUUUUCCAGAAGUCCCUACUGGGACUACACCAGAUCAGACACAUCAACCUCCUCCAACUGCAGCUAAUGGAACUCCAGUGUCAAACUCGGUUGCCACACAACCAGCAAAGCCAGUCAAGAAAGUGGCAAUUGCAAUAUCAGUUGGAAUUGUUACCUUGGGAAUGUUAUCUGCCUUGGCAUUCUACCUUUACAAGCACCGUGUCAAGCACCCAGAUGAAACUCAAAAGCUUGUAAGGGGCAAUUCUGAUCAGAGGAUCAACGAGGAAUCAAGAACGCCGCCUUCUACUUUCCUAUACAUUGGGACUGUUGAGCCACCUGUUAAGACAUCAGCUGAGACUGAGUCCAAUGGUGCUACUGACUCACCUUAUCGAAAAUUGAGCUCUGUAAAAAGAUUGGAUACCAGGUAUAGGCCAAGUCCUGACCUUCAACCCCUUCCACCACUGAACAAACCCCAACCCCCUCCUAACAUUAAUUCACCUACUGCAAUGUCAUCAUCCGAUGAGGAGAGUCAUGACACUGCAUUUCACACUCCACAAGGCUCCUCUAUCAGCAAUGAAGAAGGUUAUUACACUCCCAGUUUUCGUGAGAGUUACCUAAGCAACAAGAAUUAUGUCCCUUAUUCAAAGAGAACUUCUCCGAGAGCACACCUUUCUGAUUCAUCCCCUGAUGUAAAACAUACUCUAAUACCAUCCAUUAAGCAAGCUCCAGCUCCCCCACUUCCACUGCAGCAACCACAAGGGGGUCAGUUGGAACAACUUCCACCUGAGCCUCCGUUGCAAUAUACUAAGCCAGAACUUCCAUAUGUACCAAAAAGGGCAAAGUUUUCAUCACCACCUCCUCCACCAGAUAUGACAAGGCUUCAACUGAUAAGCAACCAAGCCCAAAAUAUAUCAAAAACACCACCACCACCACCACCACCACCUCCUCCUCCUCCUCCUCCUCCUCCACCCCCACUUCCAUUAUCAACACCCUACAAACCGGAAGGAUCACAAAGGAAUCUUCCUUCAGCAGCUUACCAGCAAAUGGUCAAGACAGAAUCAAGGAGUCCCACUCCAAAAUCAACACCAGGGAGUGAGAAGACGAGUACUUCUGAAGAACAAAACGGAGGUGCCAGUUCUUUAGAAAGACAUGAUUCUAGCGAUACAGAUCCAUCCAAGCCUAAGUUGAAGCCUUUGCACUGGGACAAAGUGCGAGCAACAUCUGAUCGAGCCACAGUGUGGGACCAAUUAAAAUCGAGUUCCUUCCAGUUGAACGAGGACAUGAUGGAGUCACUUUUUGGAUGUAAUUCAGCAAAUUCUGUACCAAAGGAAGCAACAAGGAAAGCAGUCCUUCCUCCAGCUGAGCAGGAUAAUAAGGUACUUGACCCCAAGAAGUCGCAGAACAUUGCCAUAAUGUUACGAGCACUGAAUGUAACUAAGGACGAGGUUUCUGAAGCCCUUCUAAAUGGAAAUCCUGAAGGACUAGGGCCUGAGCUUCUGGAAACUUUGGUCAAGAUGGCUCCAACAAAAGAAGAAGAGAUAAAACUAAGAGAGUACAGUGAAGAUGCCUCAAAGUUAGGGUCUGCAGAAAGAUUUCUCAAGACAGUGCUGGAUAUACCAUUUGCCUUCAAAAGGGUAGAAGCCAUGCUUUACAGAGCAAAUUUUGAUGGUGAAGUAAAAGAUUUGAGAAAAUCCUUCCAAACCCUUGAGGUAGCCAGUGAAGAAUUGAAGAAUAGCAGACUAUUCCUCAAACUCCUUGAAGCUGUUCUAAGGACAGGAAACCGCAUGAAUGUUGGAACUAAUCGUGGUGAUGCCAGAGCUUUCAAACUUGACACUCUUUUGAAAUUAGUAGAUAUAAAAGGAACAGAUGGGAAGACGACCUUGCUUCACUUUGUUGUCCAGGAGAUUAUCAGGUCAGAAGAGCUGGAUUCUGAACCCCCAGGCGAAGAUCUUUCUAAUAAAGCAAACAUCAAAUUCAAAGAGGAGGAUUUCAAGAAGCAAGGUUUGCAGGUUGUCUCUGGAUUAAGCAGAGAACUUGGUAAUGUCAAAAAAGCAGCAGCCAUGGACUCAGAUGUCCUGGGAAGCUAUGUCUUGAAGCUUGAAGUGGGACUUGAUAAAGCAAGAUCGGUUUGGCAAUAUGAAAAGCAAGGUAUGCAAGGUAACUUUUUUGAAUCGAUGAAAGUAUUCCUUAAGGAGGCAGAAGAUGGAAUAGUGAGGAUAAGGGCAGAAGAGAGAAAGGCUUUAUCCAUGGUCAAACAGGUAACAGAAUAUUUUCAUGGUGAUGCUGCAAAAGAGGAAGCUCAUCCCCUCAGAAUAUUUGUGAUUGUGCGAGACUUCCUCUCCAUAUUGGAUAAUGUGUGCAAAGAUGUUAGGCGGAUGCAGGAUCAAACAGUGGUAGGUGGUGCAAGAUCAUUCAGAAUAGCUGCUACUGCAUCACUACCAGUCUUAAGCAGAUAUAACGUGAAACAAGAAAGGAGUUGGGAUGAUAAUAGCUCAUCACCAUGAGAUUAAUGUGUGAAUAAUUGAAUCAAAUUAAUGGACAAGCACAAAUGGAGCAUGAAGAUGGGAAAGCAACACCAGAUAGAAGCAGUCUCACAUCUUCAAGGAGACAAUAACAUUUUGGUGCUAGCUGGAAAAAUAGCACACAGCUCCAUGAACAAGAUGCAAUAAGUGAGGAUCAGUACAAAGAGUAGGCAGUCUACACAUCAAACCUUCACAAAGAUACAAAUAUUAGACAGCAACAUUCUAGGAUUCCAUCAAAUGGGACUAGUUAUUCAUAAUCAACCUUCAAUGCAAAUGAAUCGAUAUGAGACCUGAUUAAUAAUUGUAUAUGAUGUGAUAUGAUGGGAUCGGAACUAUAGGCAUGUUCCGUCUGUUGUUGAGUGAUGGAAUGUGAAUAAUGGGGUUAAGGAGAAGGAUCCCAAUUUGACAAUGAAUGCAUAAUGUUCCGGUGGAAGGGCAAGCUAGAAAAUGAGGGAAGUUACAUCGUACACAGAUAGGCAUACCCAGAGGCACGCAGGUUCCUCAAUGGCUACAGUUCCCCUUCGCACAGCUCCCAAUUAUGCGUUUUGGUUUUGAGUAAUGGACACUACACUGAUUUUGUGAAGCCGAUUUCCCUCUAUAAGAGGCACCAUUUCUUUAUCCUGGCGAAACAUUCGAAGCUUGACAGGUAAUAUAACUGGCUCACUUUUUUCCCCUUCACUCUAUACUUUUUAUUUUUUUCUAAAAAAAAUAGUAAUUAAAUUUUAGAAUUGUAUUAUAUAACUACUGAAAUAUCAUGAAAUAUUUAAUAUCACAAA